rnacentral:lncRNA from 10 species
UAACACUUGGUAAUAUUUAUGGCUCAGAAAUUUCUAUUAAGUAUUCUGUUUAAGAAUAAUCUGCUUUCAACCCUUAAUAUUAAGUCUCCUCUUACCUAAAAGCUUUCCAGUGUCUAAAAGGUUUGCAAUAAUCCAUCACACUGAUUUACAUUGGAUAAUCUGAUUCUGUAUGAGAGUAGACUCUCAAAUGUGUAAUGGCUUUGUGUGUGUGUGUGUGUGUGUGAGAGAGAGAGAGAGAGAGAGAGAGACGGAGCUUCACUCUGUUGGCCAAGCUUGGAAUGUAGUGGUGCGAUCUCAGCUCACCGCAAUCUCUGCCUUCCAGAUUCAGGCGACUUUCCUGCCUUGGCCUCCCCAGUAGCUGGGAUUACAGGUAUGUGCCACCACACCUGGCUAAUAUUUGUAUUUUUAGUAGACAGGAGAUGUCACCAUGUUGUCCAGGCUGGUCUCAAAAUCUUGACCUCAAGUGAUCCACCCACCUCGGCCUUCCAAAGUUCUGGGGUUACAGGCAUGAGCCAUGGUGCCCUGCUGUAACGGCUUUAAACAAUGGAAGUUUAUUUUGGUGUUGUUGUUCAUUAUAAUUUGUUCUGUUCUUGAUUAAUAAAUGUUUCCCUUCCAUGUGGUGAUUCAGGAAUGCAGCUUUUUUCCAUCUUGUGGCUCUAACAUUCCUUAAGUCUUAGUUGUAAUUCGUGUCAAGACAACAAGAAGGAAAGAGAGUCUUGGACUAGAUAGAACACACAUCACUUCUGCUUGCUUUCCCUCAGUCAUAUGGCCCCUCUUUACUGCAAGAGCUACUGGGAAACAUAAUCUAGUAAUAUGAUCAUAAAGAAAAAAAAUAGCAAGGAUUUUGGUGAAUAGUAAACAACCUCUGCCACAUCUGUUAAAUCUAGCUUUUAGAGAUCUAUCAUCUAUUAAUCUCUCUCACUUAUCAGUUUCCUUUUGCUAUAGCCUCAAUAAGCUUCCGUCUUUCCCUUAAACAUUUUUAUGGCAUUGAAUUUGCUGCUUCAUCUUGCCUGGAAUUUUCUACCUCCAGAUUACUCAUUUCUGUAUCUUUCUGUUUCUGCAAAUUUCUGCUAAAAUGUCACUCCUGGAAGCCAUUUUCUCAAUUUCUCAUUCUAAAUUCAAACUCCCAGACAUCUCAUUUCAUAUCACUUUGUGUCACUGCCAUGAAAAACACCUGUCUGCAAUGACUUCUGAGGCUAACUCCUCAGGAUUAGGCUGCACUUCACAGGUUAAAGGCACAGUCCUCCAGAAGACUGCCAUCACUUUAGACACCAGCUUCAAGUUUGGGGCUUCUCAGGCUACCUGCAAUUUCAGACUAACUGGCAACUGAUUCAGGGCUUCCUACUGCUAUUCCAAGUUUGAAAAUCCGCUAGAACCAAUUACAGAAACUCAGAAGAGUGCUGUAUUUACAACUACAGUUUUAUUAUAGCAAAAAGGAUACAACUAAGAACCAGCCAAAAGAAGAAAUGCAAUGAAUGAGAUCUCAGAGGGUCCCAAAUUAAAAGGAGAAAACAAAACAAAACUACUGGUUUCCUCUCCCCAUGACCUCAAGAUGAGUCAUCCUUUCUGCACAUCAAUGUAUACUACAAACUAAAGAAGCUCACCCAGGUUUGGUGGAGUUUUAUUAUAUUUGUUGAGGAUUCAUUUAUAGUGUCUUUGGCCACAUAAGAGAAUUCAAUCUUUAGCCCUUCUUCACUUCCCCGAGGUCAGUAGAGAUCAUGUUUCUCAAAGUCCAACACUUUAAUCAUCUCAUUAGUCUUUUUGGCAUGGGCAGGCCCGUCUUGAGUCUUCUCACUGCUGCAAGUUAUCUAGGGGCCCAUAAACUAUUAGGACCCACCAGGAAUAGCUCAGGCCUUCCUAUUACCCAGGAAAUUUCAAGGAUUUAGCAGUUACCUCCCAGGAGAUGGGGAAAGGCCAGCCAAAUUCUUUAUUAUACAACACUUUCUCUAAAAUGAUCUUGUACACUUAUUUUUCAGCAUCUAAUCCUCCUAAAUAUAAGCUUCAUGGGACCAAAAUCCUUGUCUGUUUUGGCAGUGCAGAAGACUGAAUAGUAAACAGUAGGUGCUAGAUAAAUAUUUACAGAAUAAAUUAACUAAGAAUUACAAAUUCUGGCCUGGACAGUUCAAUUAGGAGUUGUUGGUAGACAGUUCAUUCUUGAUGUUCAUAAAACUGUGUGUGUGAGCUCUAAAAUAAUAGCUUAAUUGAAGUUAAUUACGGAAAAAAAAUACAGCAUUGCCCAUUGUUAUCUGCUUCUGAAUCCUAGCUCUAUUACAUAUGUACUGUGUGAGUUGCUGUGUGCUUCAUGUUCCAAUUUAAGCACAGUGAUACCUGUCUCUACUUCAUCAGGUUCUUGUGAGGAUUAAAUAAGAUGUCUGAAAACCUGUUUGGAAGGGAGCCUAUAUGAUAAAAUCUUUAGUAAUUAUUGUUUAUUAUUGAGGAUAUUGUGAUUAUGGUAUGGAAAUGUGGAAGGCCACUGAAAUGGGAGAGUUAUUGAAGUAAAUCAGCAUCAUUACUAACUUUACUAACUUUUUUUUCUUUUUUGAGAUGGAGUCUUGCUGUGUUGUCCAGGCUAUGGAGUGCAGUGGCACGAUCGUGGCUCACUGCAAUGUCCGCCUCCUGGGUUCAAGUAAUUAUCCUGUCUCAGCCUCCUGACUCAGCUAGGACUACAGGUGCCUGCCACCACACUUGGCUAAUUUUUGUAUUUUCAGUAGAGAAGGGGUUUCACCACAUUGGCCAGGCUAGUCUCGAACUCCUGACCUCAGCUGAUCCGCCUGCCUUGGCCUCCCAAAAUGCUGGGAUUGUAGGUGUUAGCCACCAUGCCUGGCCCAUCAUUACUAACUUUACAAAUUAAUACAUUCUGGCCAACAGCAUUCUCUGGUCUCACAAUAGUCACUCAUUAAUAAAUUAUUUAAUUUAAUUUGAAAUUCACUAUACUAGAUGUGUUGUGGGAAAUUCAGAUGGUCUAUACCUUAAUAUUACACAAAAUACUUAUAGGGGGAAAAGAUCUGUCUCAAAAAAAGUAUACCAGAAUGUCCUUGAAAUCAGGAAUUAUAUUGUUCAGGUACGCCUCUCUUCCUAGGGUCUCACAUGCUACCCAAUACUUAGAUCAGUUAGAUCUAACAAAAUGAAGUAAAUUUAGGAGAUUAGAUAAAUUUAAUAUAGAUGUAUGUUAGAUAUAAAAAUGUGUGUGUAUGUAUGUAUAAUACAUUUAUUAGGUUAUACACAUUUCUAAAAUUACCAUAAAAAUGGUUCCUAUAUCAAAAAAAAAAGAUUAGAAAAUCAGUGUUGGGCCUUUUCUUUUUAAACUUUCAACUGUUGACUAUGUCAAUAUUAAAGUACAAUUUAUAAAAAGCAUAGACAGAUUUUUUUAAGUAAAGUUUCAAAAAGACAUUUUUAAAUAUGUUAUUACUUUCAUAAUUUGACAAGGUUAAAAAAAUUGAAAACUAAAUUUUUAUUUUGUUUACAUAGUAUAUGAACUUGCCUGAUGAAGAUUUGCAUUUUUCAUAAAACUAAAACUGUUUCACCACAUUUAGGAAAACCAUAUUUUCUCCUUUCCAUAGCCAACAUUUUAUACUGAAUUUUAUUUUAAAGAAAAGAGGCCUCACAUUUUGGAUGCUAUAAGGAGGUUCUACAGACUUCUUAAUUUGUACUGGAGAAAAACAAUAUUAUUUUGAAGUAAGAUAUCUGAACUGAUUUAAUGAAGAAGAAGCAAACAAGCAAAAUGGAAAAAAAAACAGCUCCAUGCCACAAGAAUUGAUUCCUGGAGCCAUGUACUAAUUAAAAGGCCGAGAAAAUCACUGAUAUGGCUGCUCUGAUGUGAGGAAACGCCAAACUAUUACUUCCAGCGGCUUACCUUAGGCAUUUUGUCUAUGAGAAAAGUCAGCAUUUAUUUGUUUAUGUGACUACUAAUAAUAGGCUGGUGCAAAAUUAAUUGUGGGUUUUGCUGUUGAAAGUCAUAGCGAAAACUGUAAUUACUUUUGCACCAACCUAAUAGUUUAUUGUUAAUGGCAGCCAAAUUGAUAUUCUGAAGUUAGAAGUCAAAAUCACUCAUAUCUGGUUUACCUUGGAUCUAGAAGCAACACUUUAAGAAUUUUUUCUGAAAAAAAUGACCUAAAUAUUCUUAUUUAUUUCUAAUUAUUAGAAAUAAAUGCAUGUUCUUAUUAUUCAUUAAAAAAUAUUAUCGAUGUGGGGGAGGGGGCAAGUUCUAGUAUCUAUAGAAGUACAAUGAGAGUAAACAGAAAAUAGUAACAAAAGAACAUAAAAAUGUAUUUUCUUCUAAAUAUUUAUAAUGUUAUGUGACAAUUAUUAAUAUAAUGCCUCUCCCCAUGAAAUCUGUUCUUCCUUGUCUACUCUGCAAAAAUGGAUCUGACACUUUAUAUGUAUUUUUCUUUUGUCAGCUGGCAGUAAGCUUUGCCAAUAGCUGGUGCUAGAAAGGCAUUGCUGGAGAAAAGGCUUCUGCUUCCCUUCCUGGUUCAGUUGUGCUUACUUAGCAGGUAAAUGUAGCACACUUGGCUUCUCCAGCACUUAGCAAUAGUGAUGUGGAUGGCUUGUCAGUUUCUGCAGUGUCCAGGUCUUGCAGCACACACAGCUUUUCCAUUAUCAGGCUCCUCCAGUGCUUGUGCAACUUCUUCAGUUCAUUUCCUGUAGGGCAUGCCAUCCAGCAGUACUCAGCAGCCAGUAGCGUCCCCCAGAAACUUCUUAGGCUGUUUUAUAAUACUUUUCCAUGAAACACCUUUUUUUGUGAUCAGCUUUCUUCUGCACCCUAGAGAAUGGAAUUCCAGCAAGUUUCAGAGGAAAGAUUUCCAGCAAGUUCCACUAAUGCUUCUUCUAGUGACUUCUUUACCAUUCAGUGAGAAAUGGCCAUGCCCUUUCCAACAAGGUAUAGCUUUUCGUCCUGGUAGGAUGGAAGGCAGGGCAUCUUCCUCUACACGUGCUCUAUCUCGGUGAGAGGGUACUGGCUGAUCCUUGUAACUGCUUUUUCCAUGACUUUUAGAGUUCUCUUUAUGUUUUACCACCCCAUCUCUCAUUAUGCUAAUCCCCAUUAUAGUUUAAAAGUUUAAUUAAAAAUUUUCCUGUUCAAAUCACUGUGUGGUCUCCCUGAUCAGACUCUGAUUGACACACAUCAUAUGUCAAAGCUAUAUCUCCAAGUUAUUUGAGGCUAUUGUCUAUAAAGUUAGAGCAAUAUUUUACAAGUAUUUAUAGAAUUUGCCUUAAAACAGCUUCUCUCAAAAAUGCUUUUCAGAACAUGAUGUACUUUGUCACAUGAUGCACUCCGAGAAAAAUCGAUUCCAUGGUCCAAUAGCUUAUUUUUUUUCAAUUAGAUGUUCAUAGUGCUUAUGAGAAUAUUAAACUUUCUCAGAGGUUCUGUAGUUAAUAUAAUCCACUUAAUUUUGUUUAAGCCAGCAUUUCCUGAACCUUUUUGACCUUGAAAACAGUUCACUGAACAAAAACAACUCUUGUAACUUGUGAAAUGUUAUGUUGAGAAAUAAACUUUGGAAAAUGAUUCCUUAAGGAUAUCAGCAUAAUAAAUAGCUCUAUUGAUUUAAAGAAAGGGUAAAAGCAUUUGAAGAGCAUGGAGAAUGUGUUUUUGUGCCAUUGCGUGCUAUUUCUUAGGCUCUUCUUUUGAAAGUGCCAUGAAAAUGUGGCUGCAGGAAGGGUUUCCCACUUUUACAUACGUGCAUUACUACUCAUGCUGGGUAUAUACAAUCUUGGUAUGAUUUAUAAAUAGAUCUCUAAAUGAUGACUAGCUAGGGAAUAAAUCGAGCUUUCAGUUCAUGUUUUCUACUCCUAAUCUUAACCAUGUGUGAUAUUGACCACUUUAUUGCUAUAUAUAUAUAUAUAUAAUAUUUGUUAUAAGACUAGCUCUUGAUCAAAAAUAAAUUCCUAACUGAAAUCUGGUUGGCCUCUCCCUCAUCCAAAGAGAAUUUAAAUAGAAAAAAAUUGCCAUCCAACACUCAAUAGUUGUGGCUAGCCACUGCUGAGUAAGCUUAGCUGACAAAAACUCAACAGUAUCUGCUAUAAUAAGGGAAAGUGACAUUGUAUAUUACUGACGUGAUCAUUAUUUGUUUAGACUAAAACUGCAAAGAUUGCCGUUCCUUCCCAAAUCCAUAACCGUAUCAUAACCAAAAAAUCCAGUCUCACUUUUCCCUUUCUGUAAUUACUGUGGUGAUAGAUUAUACUAAAGAACUCAAAUUGAAUCUUCAAAAAACAGAAGUAUUUAUACAGUUUUACUGAUUAAAAAAUAUCCAAAAAUGUUUUUAAGUGUUUACUUCUGAGUGAUUGAGGUGUUUUGUUAAACAAAAUAAUAUUUUAUUGAUUUUUGUGUUCCUUGGCAUUCAAUGGUAAUUAUAAUAAAAGUUAUCUUGGAAUUUACAUGGUGUCUUGAAAUGUUGACAACCUCUUGUAAAGUCGAUCAGAGCAGCAUUAUGGCUUAUGUUUCUUUUGUAGCUCUGUGUAAGUUCAUAACAUGUAGUGGGCCUUCAAAAUAUAAUAAAGUCAAAAACUG